rnacentral:rRNA from 1 species
GAGUUUGAUCAUGGCUCAGGACGAACGCUGGCGGUGCGCCUUAUGCAUGCAAGUCGAGCGAAGCUUUUCAGUAGUUUACUACAGAAAAUGACUGAGCGGCGAACGGGUGAGUAACGCGUGAGCAAUCUACCUUAGUUACAGGGAUAGCCCGAGGAAACUCGGAUUAAUACCUGAUAUUCUUUACAUUUCGCAUGAAAUCAAAAGGAAAGGUCAGCCGAACUAAGAUGAGCUCGCGUUCUAUCAGCUAGUUGGUGAGGUAAAAGCUCACCAAGGCAACGACGGAUAGCUGGUCUGAGAGGACGAUCAGCCACACUGGGACUGAGACACGGCCCAGACUCCUACGGGAGGCUGCAGCAGGGAAUAUUGCGCAAUGAGCGAAAGCUUGACGCAGCGACACCGCGUGUGGGAUGACGGAUCUAGGUUUGUAAACCACUUUCAGGAGGGAAGAAAAUGACGGUACCUCCACAAGAAGCCCCGGCCAACUACGUGCCAGCAGCCGCGGUAAUACGUAGGGGGCGAGCGUUGUCCGGAUUUAUUGGGCGUAAAGAGCUCGUAGGCGGUUCAACAAGUCGGUCGUAAAAGUUCAGGGCUCAACCCUGAAAUGUCGAUCGAUACUGUUGUGACUAGGAUACGGUAGAGGUGAGUGGAAUUCCGAGUGUAGCGGUGAAAUGCGUAGAUAUUCGGAGGAACACCAAUUGCGAAGGCAGCUCACUGGGCCGCUAUCGACGCUGAGGAGCGAAAGCUAGGGGAGCAAACAGGAUUAGAUACCCUGGUAGUCCUAGCUGUAAACGAUGGAUACUAGACGUAGGAACUGG